AUUGAACGCUGGCGGCAGGCCUAACACAUGCAAGUCGAGCGAGCGGCGGACGGGUGAGUAAUGUCUGGGAAACUGCCUGAUGGAGGGGGAUAACUACUGGAAACGGUAGCUAAUACCGCAUACCAUCAGAUGUGCCCAGAUAUGAUUAGCUAGUAGGUGGGGUAACGGCUCACCUAGGCGACGCUCCCUAGCUGGUCUGAGAGGAUGACCAGCCACACGGGAACCGAGGCACGGUCCAGACUCCUACGGGGGGCAGCAGUGGGGGAUAUUGCACAAUAGGCGCAAGCCUGGUGCAGCCAUGCCGCGUGUGUGAAGAAGGCCUUCGGGUUGUAAAGCACUUUCAGCGGGGAGGCGUUACCCGAAGAAGAAGGACCGGCUAACUCCGUGACAGCAGCCGCAGUAAUAC
rnacentral:rRNA from 1 species